GCAACCACAAUGCACAAACCUAGCCGCCCACUCCUGCAGUCUCGCUCUCGCCCUCUCCCAGUCCCAUCGGCAAACUGCCGCCGCCCCCCACUGUCCCACGCCGUCGCAGGCUGCCGGAUCCCCGCGGCUGCCAUCCUCCUAGGCCAUAGGAUCCCCGCUGUCUCCAUCCUCGCGGGGACGUAGGAUCCCCCAUGUAGGCUGCCUCCAUCCUUGCUGGAUCUACGACCAAGCACCACCUCUGCCUCCAUCCUCGCUGGAUCUGUAGCCAAGCACCACCGCCACUCAACUCCGCCGUCUCAGUCCUCAUUCUCCCUCGAGCAGCAAGUUCGCCGCGCCGGAGCAGCAACAACGCCACCUCUGCAUCGAUCCCGUCCAACCGGAGCAGCAGCGCCGCCAUCCUCAUUCUUCCUCCAAGGCUUCACCGCACCGGACCAGCACCGAGGCCAUCAUCGCGCCGGAGCAGCACCGAGGCCAUCACCGCGCCCUCCUUUUGUCUCACCAAGAUGAGUUCACCAGUGGAUAGUUUCUCGGCGCCUUGAGUGGAAAGGUCAGCUGUGCAUGGAACUCAACAUGACAAGUCAUCCACUUCACAAGCAACAGAGGGUACAUAUGGCAUUGAGGCUGAGACAACCCAAGGUACUGGUACAGAACCUGGACAAACUAAAAGGAGGAAACUUACAUCUGAAGUAUGGAAUGAGUUUCAUAAAGAAUUUAUUGGUGGGAGAUGGCAAGCUCAAUGCAUGUAUUGCAAAAAAAUGGCUUAGUGCAGCAAGCACAGGUGGCACCACACAUUUGAACAACCACUUGAAAACUUGUUGUGCCAAGAGUGCACCUGUAGGCCUAAAGCAACAGAAGUUAAGGUUGGCGGCUGCUAGUGGUGGGAAAGUUGAACUCGAUAACAAUGGGGUUUUUGACCAAGAUGUAGCUAGGAAAAAUCUUGCCUUGAUGAUCUGUGUUCAUGAAUAUCCUUUAUCGAUGGUUGAUCAUUCUAUUUUCCGAAUGUUUUGUGCUUCAAUGCAACCUUUGUUCAAGGUUGUCUCAAGAAAUACCAUUAGAAAGGAUAUCUUGCUUAUGCAUUCAGCCCAAAAGGAAAAGAUGGUGAAAUAUUUUGCAAAUUGCAAACAACGAGUAGCUGUCACCUCAGACUUGUGGACUGCAGGCCAUCAAAAGGAAGGCUACAUGGUUGUUACAGCCCAUUUUAUUAAUGAAUCUUUAAAUCUGAAGAGCAUCAUUUUGAGGUUUGCAUAUGUACCCGCUCCACAUAAUGGUGAAGUUAUUUGUCAAGCUUUGCAUGAAUGUCUUCUUGAUUGGCAUCUAGAGAGGACUACCCUUGACAAUUGCACAACUAAUGACAAGGCUAUUGUUAUCUUGAUAGAUAAGUUGGAUACUAAAUCCCUUAUGUUGGAGGGUAAGUAUCUGCAUAUGCGUUCUUGUGCACAUAUCCUAAUCUGAUUGUGAAAGAUGGAAUGAGUGUCAUGGAGAAAGGUAUUGCUAGAGUCCGCGAUAGUGUUGCAUUUUGGUAGGCCACACCUAAAAGGCACGAGAAAUUUAAACAGAUGGCACUCUCUCUAAACAUUGACUAUUCUAGAAGGUUGUUUUUGGAUUGCAAGACUAGGUGGAAUUCAAGAUAUAAAAUGAUAUCCAUUGCAUUACUAUACACUGAUGUGUUCAAGAAACUAAGAACACGUGAGCUCCUAUUCAACUGUUGCCCAACCGUAGAAGAUUGGAAAUUUGCAAAAGAACUUUGUGAUAGGCUACAAGUUUUCUUUGAGAUCACUGAACUAUUCUCAGGGACUAAAUAUGUUACCGCAAAUCUGUUCUUCCCCAAAAUAUCUUCUAUUCGUCUAGCAAUACGAAAAUGGUCUACUAGUGAGCAUGUUCCUUUGCAAAAGAUGUCUGAGGAAAUGAAGACGAAGUUUGAGAAGUAUUGGAAAGAAGUUCAUGGUCUUAUGUCUGUGGCAACAGUCCUUGAUCCAAGAUAUAAGCUUCAUAUGUUGCAAGCUUUGUUUGGCUCUCUUUCUGGGUUUGAAAAUGCAACUACAAAAGUGGAGAAAAUUAGAAAGUUAAUGGGUGAUUUGUUGCUAGAAUAUCAAGCAUCUUAUGGUGGUGUGGGUACCUCGGAGUCACAGGUAGGAGGAGUGUUUCUACCCAAGGUGGUGCUGCAGUAGAUGAAAUGGAGAAUAUAUUUAAACAAUAUAUGUCCUCGUAGCCUGUUAUGAGUGCUUCUCGUGUGCGGACAGAACUGGACUUAUAUUUGGAAGAGGAAAUUAUCCAUAGGCUAGAGGGUCUCGACAUCAUCAAUUGGUGGCAGUUUGGAGGUAUCAAGUAUCCUACAUUGUGAAGAAUGGCUCAUGAUAUACUAGCCAUUCCUGUAACAACCGUGGCGCCGGAAUCUGCCUUCAGUACUAGUGGGAGAAUACUAAGUGCACAUGGAUGUUCACUUGCACCAAACAUGACCAAAGCUCUUAUGUGUAUGCAAGCUUGGUCCCGUGCAGACAUGUUAGGGGAUUGCAAUUCUACUAUGUUUGUGGACUUUGAAACUGUUCUUAAGGAUGACACAGAAAUGAUGGAGGUUGAUGAUCAAUCCAUCCUAACUGAAGCCUGAAACAUGAUUGUAUGAUGUUGCUGCUGCUGCUUGGUUGCGACGAGAAGGCGGACGACCCGGCGUGCUACACUACUACAUGCUGUUAUUUACAUUUAUCCAUGGGCUGCUACCUACUUGCUACUGCUAGCUUGUUGGCACACAACUACUCAACCUAAACCUUGUAUUUGUGCUGCUAUUGAACCUUGUAUUUCUGCUGCUAUUUGUGCAAAUGAACCUUGUAUUUCUGCUCCUGAACCUUGUAUUUGUGCUUCUAAAGACCUGCACCAUGUAUUUGUGAUGCUAUUUGUGCUCCCGAACCUUGUAUUUGCCUUCCUGA